GGGGAACGUUAACGGCGUCGAGCGGCGGACGGGUGAGUAAUGCCUGGGAAAUUGCCCUGAUGUGGGGGAUAACCAUUGGAAACGAUGGCUAAUACCGCAUAAUAGCUUCGGCUCAAAGAGGGGGACCUUCGGGCCUCUCGCGUCAGGAUAUGCCCAGGUGGGAUUAGCUAGUUGGUGAGGUAAUGGCUCACCAAGGCGACGAUCCCUAGCUGGUCUGAGAGGAUGAUCAGCCACACUGGAACUGAGACACGGUCCAGACUCCUACGGGAGGCAGCAGUGGGGAAUAUUGCACAAUGGGCGCAAGCCUGAUGCAGCCAUGCCGCGUGUAUGAAGAAGGCCUUCGGGUUGUAAAGUACUUUCAGCAGUGAGGAAGGUGGUGUCGUUAAUAGCGGCAUCAUUUGACGUUAGCUGCAGAAGAAGCACCGGCUAACUCCGUGCCAGCAGCCGCGGUAAUACGGAGGGUGCGAGCGUUAAUCGGAAUUACUGGGCGUAAAGCGCAUGCAGGUGGUUUGUUAAGUCAGAUGUGAAAGCCCGGGGCUCAACCUCGGAAUUGCAUUUGAAACUGGCAGACUAGAGUACUGUAGAGGGGGGUAGAAUUUCAGGUGUAGCGGUGAAAUGCGUAGAGAUCUGAAGGAAUACCGGUGGCGAA
rnacentral:rRNA from 1 species